rnacentral:rRNA from 1 species
UACGUAGGGUGCGAGCGUUUGUCCGGAAUUAUUGGGCGUAAAGAGCUCGUAGGUGGUUUGUCGCGUUGUUCGUGAAAACUCACAGCUCAACUGUGGGCGUGCGGGCGGAUACGGGCAGACUAGAGUACUGCAGGGGAGACUGGAAUUCCUGGUGUAGCGGUGGAAUGCGCAGAUAUCAGGAGGAACACCGGUGGCGAAGGCGGGUCUCUGGGCAGUAACUGACGCUGGAGGAGCGAAAAGCGUGGGGGAGCGAAACAGG